rnacentral:rRNA from 1 species
AUUGAACGCUGGCGGAAUGCUUUACACAUGCAAGUCGAACGGCAGCACGGACUUCGGUCUGGUGGCGAGUGGCGAACGGGUGAGUAAUGUAUCGGAACGUGCCCAGUCGUGGGGGAUAACGUAGUGAAAAUUACGCUAAUACCGCAUACGAUCUAUGGAUGAAAGCGGGGGAUCGCAAGACCUCGCGCGAUUGGAGCGGCCGAUAUCAGAUUAGGUAGUUGGUGGGGUAAAGGCCCACCAAGCCAACGAUCUGUAGCUGGUCUGAGAGGACGGCCAGACACACUGGAACUGAGACACGGACCAGACCCCUACGGGAGGCAGCAGUGGGGAAUUUUGGACAAUGGGCGAAAGCCUGAUCCAGCCAUUCCGCGUGCAGGAUGAAGGCCCUCGGGUUGUAAACUGCUUUUGUACAGAACGAAAAGGUUUCUACUAAUACUAGGAGCUCAUGACGGUACUGUAAGAAUAAGCACCGGCUAACUACGUGCCAGCCGCCGCAGUAA